rnacentral:rRNA from 1 species
AGAGUUUGAUCCUGGCUCAGGAUGAACGCUGGCGGUAUGCUUAACACAUGCAAGUCGAACGGUGUCUUCGGACACAGUGGCGGACGGGUGAGUAACGCGUGAGAAUCUGGCUCUAGGUCUGGGACAACCACUGGAAACGGUGGCUAAUACCGGAUGUGCCGAGAGGUGAAAGGUUAACUGCCUAGAGAUGAGCUCGCGUCUGAUUAGCUAGUUGGAAGUGUAAUGGACUCCCAAGGCGACGAUCAGUAGCUGGUCUGAGAGGACGAUCAGCCACACUGGGACUGAGACACGGCCCAGACUCCUACGGGAGGCAGCAGUGGGGAAUUUUCCGCAAUGGGCGAAAGCCUGACGGAGCAAUACCGCGUGAGGGAGGAAGGCUCUUGGGUCGUAAACCUCUUUUCUCAGGGAAGAACACAAUGACGGUACCUGAGGAAUAAGCAUCGGCUAACUCCGUGCCAGCAGCCGCGGUAAUACGGAGGAUGCAAGCGUUAUCCGGAAUGAUUGGGCGUAAAGCGUCCGCAGGUGGCAAUGUAAGUCUGCUGUUAAAGAGUCUAGCUCAACUAGAUAAAAGCAGUGGAAACUACAUAGCUAGAGUACGUUCGGGGCAGAGGGAAUUCCUGGUGUAGCGGUGAAAUGCGUAGAGAUCAGGAAGAACACCGGUGGCGAAGGCGCUCUGCUAGGCCGUAACUGACACUGAGGGACGAAAGCUAGGGGAGCGAAUGGGAUUAGAUACCCCAGUAGUCCUAGCCGUAAACGAUGGAUACUAGGCGUGGCUUGUAUCGACCCGAGCCGUGCCGUAGCUAACGCGUUAAGUAUCCCGCCUGGGGAGUACGCCGGCAACGGUGAAACUCAAAGGAAUUGACGGGGGCCCGCACAAGCGGUGGAGUAUGUGGUUUAAUUCGAUGCAACGCGAAGAACCUUACCAAGGCUUGACAUGUCGCGAAUCUUCUUGAAAGGGAAGAGUGCCUUCGGGAGCGCGAACACAGGUGGUGCAUGGCUGUCGUCAGCUCGUGUCGUGAGAUAUUGGGUUAAGUCCCGCAACGAGCGCAACCCUCGUUUUUAGUUGCCAGCAUUAAGUUGGGCACUCUAGAGAGACUGCCGGUGACAAACCGGAGGAAGGUGGGGAUGACGUCAAGUCAGCAUGCCCUUUAUGCCUUGGGCUACACACGUACUACAAUGCUCCGGACAGAGGGCAGCAAGCAUGCGAAUGCAAGCAAAUCCCGUAAACCGGAGCUCAGUUCAGAUCGCAGGCUGCAACUCGCCUGCGUGAAGGAGGAAUCGCUAGUAAUUGCAGGUCAGCAUACUGCAGUGAAUUCGUUCCCGGGCCUUGUACACACCGCCCGUCACACCAUGGAGGCUGGUAGUGCCCGAAGUCAUUACUCCAACCUUUCGGGGAGGAGGAUGCCUAAGGCAGGACUGGUGACUGGGGUGAAGUCGAAACAAGGUA